rnacentral:rRNA from 1 species
UACGUAGGGUGCGAGCGUUGUCCGGAAUUAUUGGGCGUAAAGGGCUCGUAGGCGGUUUGUCGCGUCGGGAGUGAAAACGCCGGGCUUAACUCGGUGCUUGCUUUCGAUACGGACAGACUAGAGGCAUGCAGGGGAGAACGGAAUUCCUGGUGUAGCGGUGAAAUGCGCAGAUAUCAGGAGGAACACCAGUGGCGAAGGCGCCGCUCUGGGCCGUGACUGACGCUGAGGAGCGAAAGCGUGGGUAGCAAACAGG